rnacentral:rRNA from 1 species
CAGUCGCCACGGUAAUACGUAGGUGGCAAGCGUUGUCCGGAAUUAUUGGGCGUAAAGGGCUCGCAGGCGGUUUCUUAAGUCUGAUGUGAAAGCCCCCGGCUCAACCGGGGAGGGUCGUUGGAAACUGGGAAACUUGAGUGCAGAAGAGGAGAGCGGAAUUCCACGUGUAGCGAUGAAAUGCGUAGAGAUGUGGAGGAACACCAGUGGCGAAGGCGACUCUCUGGUCUGUAACUGACGCUGAGGAGCGAAAGCGCGGGGAGCGAACAGGAUUAGAUACCCCUGUAGUCCCUGUCUCUUAUAC